AGAGGGCUUCACGGCGAGGCGACGGGCUCAAGCAAAACAAGUACGCUCUGUGUUCCAAUCUUGCUCUGUUUACUGAUUCCAAUCUUGCUCUGUAUACUGAUUACAAUCUUGCUCUGUGUUCUACGUUCUGAAAAUCACAUUAUUUCAAACAACAUCCUUUAAGAGUCUACCAAGGAACUCAAGUACCAAUUGAACGGGAGAGAUUUGCAUCAAAAUGACAUACAUGGAAGCCAGCGGAAAUUGUAAUAGCUGGCCUCCACGAACCAUAAUUUAUAUUUCAUAAAUUUGUUCUGCUUCAAAACAGCAAGUUUAUCUGAGAAUUUUAAGCUCUGCACGCUACCAGUACAUAAAACAGAGAUAAGAACAAAGAAGUUCAGUAAAUUUUGUAUUUUAAAGGACUGAGGAAAUAUAAUGGAAAUCCUUAUCCUUGCAUUUAUUCCUUAUUUGUAUCCCAAACAAUGGCCAAAGUCAGUCCUUUCAUUCUCCCUAUCCAUUACGAUGGAGUACAAGAAAACGGAUGACACUUCUUAACCAAGUAAAUAUGCUGAAUUGGCGCUCCUGGCUCCAUUGAAACUUUCAACAAAAGAUAUAACUUGAUACUUAAGGGAUACAUGGACUGAAGCAAUAGAAACCACAAAUUACCUUUAUUGCAGUCGCCAGUGCAUCAAGCAAAUUACCAUCAGAGCUAACCACAAGUCCAUGAAUGUACAGAUCCCAGCAGGAUUUCCCCUAAACAACAAUCAGAGAAAAUAAAUCGACUACAGCCCCUGAAAUAGUUAUUGGUAGCAAGUGAUGGUCUAUUAGCGGUCUUCUAGAAAGAAAACAAUAUAAAAACAUCAAAUGAUGAAAAUCCACCUUUGUUAAAGUUUUCUUGACUACGAGAAAGAAGAGGACAUCAGAAACAGAGUUGAAUUUGGUUAAAUCACUAAACUCCAAUUGGGACUGUAUCUUAAUCGUUAACACAAGUAAUUCACAAGCAGACACAACUUGGCAGGUGGGGAACCUAGAACUCGGCAGGGUUUCACUUUUUCUAUUUAUGAUAGAUUAUCGCAUCAGUGUCUAUUGGUGGAUAACCGCUCAAUGCUUCUACACCAAAAUUAACUUCAAAUUUGGCCAAUAACCGUCAAUUGCCUACAGAGUCCAACUUCCACGAUGAGCAAAAAUCAACACAUAGACACAUCCCAACAUGAGCAAUAAUCUACAAAGAGAGACGAACAAUGGCAAAAUCAGAUCACUUCUUCCAUGUGAGCAUCCAACCUAAAAUUCACAAAAAUUAUAUGGUUAUACGCCUGGAAUUUGAAAUAUGUUUUCACUCGAGCAAAGAACAACACACCAUGACAACACUAAUCUAAAUUCAGACACGCCUCUCGUUUUAACACUGAACCAAAUCAUCAGGAUUUGCUGUUCCACUCACAAACAGUACCAGAUUGAGAGGGGGGGGAGAUAGACCUGCGGGUCUAGCAGAGGUGAAGGGGAGGCUGAGUUUUAGAGGAGCGUGCCGAUGCCGACGAUGGUGGCGAGG
rnacentral:lncRNA from 1 species